rnacentral:rRNA from 1 species
UCUAAGUAUAACCUGCCAGACAGGGAAACUGCGUACGGCUCAUUACACCAGCCUUAAUUUACUUGACCUUGACAACCUACUUGGAUAACUGUGGUAAUUCUAGAGCUAAUACAUGCACCAAAGCUCCGAUCCUCGCGGAGAGGAGCGCAUUUGUUCGCCACAAAACCAAGCGCCCAUCUGGGCGUCCAGUGCUGAACCAGAACAACUCAGCUGAUCGCACGGUCUUGUACCGGCGACGUGUCUUUCAAGUGUCUGCCUUAUCAACUUUCGAUGGUAGUGUACCUGACUACCAUGGUUGUGACGGGUAACGGAGGAUAAGGGUUCGACUCCGGAGAAGGGGCCUGAGAAAUGGCCACUACGUCUAAGGAUGGCAGCAGGCGCGCAAAUUACCCACUCUCAACGCGAGGAGGUAGUGACGAGAAAUAACGAGACCGUUCUCAUA